AAAUAUGAGUUAGGUUGCUGCUGGCUUUUUUUGGAGCAUGUGCACACCAACUUCAUUUUUAUCUUUCCCUGUGCACCCCUGCAUGGAUCUGAAUCUUGAGGAAACUCAGUUUUGAGAACUGUUGUGCUAUGAAGCCAACUUUUUUCAGCUUCAGAUUUAUGUAUUCUUUAACACCCCAUACAUGUAUGAAUGUUUACUUAUUGGCCUUUGUGCCUUUAAAAAUAAAAACACACAACUUUCAACAACGGAUCUCUUGGCUCUCGCAUCGAUGAAGAACGCAGCGAAAUGCGAUAAGUAAUGUGAAUUGCAGAAUUCAGUGAAUCAUCGAAUCUUUGAACGCACCUUGCGCUCCUUGGCAUUCCGAGGAGCAUGCCUGUUUGAGUGUCAUGAAAUUCUCAACCUUUCUUAGUUGAUUUCUUCGGCCAAGAUAGGAUUGGAUCAUGGAAGCUGCUGGCUGUUCAAGUUAGUUAGCUCUUCUAAAAUGUAUCUGCCCAAGACCUUUGCUCGAUCAUCUUUGAUAUGAUAAUUAUCUAUAUCAUCGGUAAUCUUGUGUUCUUUUUUGGAAUGGUCUUUGCAACAAAAGUCUUUUUAGACAAUUCUGAUAACUUUGACCUCAAAUCAGGUAGGACUACCCGCUGAACUUAAGCAUAUCAAUAAAGCGGAGGAAAAAAAACUAACAAGGAUUCCCCUAGUAACUGCGAGUGAAGCGGGAAAAGCUCAAAUUUAAAAUCUAGUAGCCUUUGGCUGCUCGAGUUGUAAUCU
rnacentral:rRNA from 1 species